rnacentral:sRNA from 1 species
CUUGGUCAUUUAGAGGAAGUAAAAGUCGUAACAAGGUUUCCGUAGGUGAACCUGCGGAAGGAUCAUUACCGAAAUGAAAAACAAAAAUGCAAGUUUCGUGCGGAUUAUGAUUUGACUGCCGAAACUUUGAAUUUGUCUCCCUUUGCUUGGACUUUUGUGGUCCGGGCACUGGGAGGCGUGCGAUGUCUGCGGACAAUCGUACCAAAAAUUUUGUAAAGAAAAAUAUAAACCGUGACUUGUCUUCGGACUUGGCACACAAAAAUUUUGUAAAGAAAAAUAUAAACAAAAAAGACGAAAAAUCAACCUCGAGUGGUGGAUCACUCGGCUCGUGGGUCGAUGAAGAACGCAGCUAACUGCGCGCAGACGUGUGAACUGCAGGACACAUGAACACCGACGUUUUAAACGCACAUGGCGGCCUGAAAUAAAUUUCAGGCCAUGUCUGGCUGAGGGUCGGAUAUGAAAAAUCAACCAAAGUUGCUCACUUUUGUGUGCACUAAUCGCCAAGUUCGAGAAAAGAGCUUGGUUAGCUGAUGUGACGGGACGUUUUGGCGCUCGUUUUGUGUAAGUGUUGAGAAAUCUGACUUGCUACGAAACUGCAGCGU